ACCGGGGCUAAACAUAUUACCGAAGCUGUGGAUUGUCCUUUGGACAAUGGUAGGAGAGCGUUCUAAGGGCGUUGAAGCAUGAUCGUAAGGACAUGUGGAGCGCUUAGAAGUGAGAAUGCCGGUGUGAGUAGCGAAAGACGGGUGAGAAUCCCGUCCACCGAUUGACUAAGGUUUCCAGAGGAAGGCUCGUCCGCUCUGGGUUAGUCGGGUCCUAAGCUGAGGCCGACAGGCGUAGGCGAUGGAUAACAGGUUGAUAUUCCUGUACCACCUAUAAUCGUUUUAAUCGAUGGGGGGACGCAGUAGGAUAGGCGAAGCGUGCGAUUGGAUUGCACGUCUAAGCAGUAAGGCUGAGUAUUAGGCAAAUCCGGUACUCGUUAAGGCUGAGCUGUGAUGGGGAGAAGACAUUGUGUCUUCGAGUCGUUGAUUUCACACUGCCGAGAAAAGCCUCUAGAUAGAAAAUAGGUGCCCGUACCGCAAACCGACACAGGUAGUCAAGAUGAGAAUUCUAAGGUGAGCGAGCGAACUCUCGUUAAGGAACUCGGCAAAAUGACCCCGUAACUUCGGGAGAAGGGGUGCUCUUUAGGGUUAACGCCCAGAAGAGCCGCAGUGAAUAGGCCCAAGCGACUGUUUAUCAAAAACACAGGUCUCUGCUAAACCGUAAGGUGAUGUAUAGGGGCUGACGCCUGCCCGGUGCUGGAAGGUUAAGAGGAGUGGUUAGCUUCUGCGAAGCUACGAAUCGAAGCCCCAGUAAACGGCGGCCGUAACUAUAACGGUCCUAAGGUAGCGAAAUUCCUUGUCGGGUAAGUUCCGACCCGCACGAAAGGCGUAACGAUUUGGGCACUGUCUCAACGAGAGACUCGGUGAAAUCAUAGUACCUGUGAAGAUGCAGGUUACCCGCGACAGGACGGAAAGACCCCGUGGAGCUUUACUGUAGCCUGAUAUUGAAAUUCGGCACAGCUUGUACAGGAUAGGUAGGAGCCUUUGAAACGUGAGCGCUAGCUUACGUGGAGGCGCUGGUGGGAUACUACCCUAGCUGUGUUGGCUUUCUAACCCGCACCACUUAUCGUGGUGGGAGACAGUGUCAGGCGGGCAGUUUGACUGGGGCGGUCGCCUCCUAAAAGGUAACGGAGGCGCUCAAAGGUUCCCUCAGAAUGGUUGGAAAUCAUUCAUAGAGUGUAAAGGCAUAAGGGAGCUUGACUGCGAGACCUACAAGUCGAGCAGGGUCGAAAGACGGACUUAGUGAUCCGGUGGUUCCGCAUGGAAGGGCCAUCGCUCAACGGAUAAAAGCUACCCCGGGGAUAACAGGCUUAUCUCCCCCAAGAGUUCACAUCGACGGGGAGGUUUGGCACCUCGAUGUCGGCUCAUCGCAUCCUGGGGCUGUAGUCGGUCCCAAGGGUUGGGCUGUUCGCCCAUUAAAGCGGUACGCGAGCUGGGUUCAGAACGUCGUGAGACAGUUCGGUCCCUAUCCGUCGUGGGCGUAGGAAAUUUGAGAGGAGCUGUCCUUAGUACGAGAGGACCGGGAUGGACAUACCUCUGGUGUACCAGUUGUCGUGCCAACGGCAUAGCUGGGUAGCUAUGUGUGGACGGGAUAAGUGCUGAAAGCAUCUAAGCAUGAAGCCCCCCUCAAGAUGAGAUUUCCCAACUUCGGUUAUAAGAUCCCUCAAAGAUGAUGAGGUUAAUAGGUUCGAGGUGGAAGCAUGGUGACAUGUGGAGCUGACGAAUACUAAUCGAUCGAAGACUUAAUCAA
rnacentral:rRNA from 1 species